GUAAUUAAUUGAGAAAGGAAGAUGAAAAUGGGAUAGUGCUGCACAAGUGAAGCAUGGGGGCUUGGGUGGGAUUUUGCUGAGCAAAGUAAAUAAUUACAUCCAGCCAGGGAGGAGGCAGCUCUUGGACUGGGUCUUGGGAAAUGGGUAGGGUUUCCAUAGGUGGAGAAGGAGAUGUUAGGCAUUCCUGAAUGAGAAAAUCAGUUGAGCAAAAAAGGACCGAUUUGGAAAUGGGUGGGGGCUGGGACUGGUAAUGACUGAAGUGGAUCAAGUGGGAUGCGAGGCCAGAAAUGCCGGUUUGCCAAAUUUGAAAUUUAGAUAAUUAAUAUCUGUUGCAUGGAACCUGAAUGAUAGCAUUUCUGGACAUAUUGCAAAAGAGGACAGCACCUGUUGGCCAAGGAAAACUUCUUCCCAAUUUCCUCCCCACUCUGCUUAGGAACAGAAGGAGAGUUGGGUCAGACAGUGACACCCUGGAGUCUGAGGAUUCUGCUAGGGCAGCAAAACCUCAUGUGAUUUAGAAAAGACGGGAGAGCUGUGGUAGCUGACGAAAAGUUCCAGAAUCGGGAAAGUACCCUCCACCAGAGAGUUAGGUCUGUGAGGCUAGGGACCCUGUUUGGAUUUUCCUUGAUGUAUCCUCAGUGCCUAGAACAGUGUCCAGCCCUCAGUAGGUGCUCAGGUGUUUGUCUAAUCAAAGAAUAAAUGAUGUGCAGUGUAUGAGAAAGUUCUGGACGAGAGAGAGAAAACACUGAGAAGGACAACAUGAAGCUGUGCUAACACCCAAAUGGGUUCCUGCAGAUUCAUCAAAAAGGGAAUAAGUUUAACUUGGCAUGAGAGUGAUCAUUGCUUCUUUCUUUGCUCUAAGAGCUUACCAACUGUUUAAUAAUGCAUUUGAGAAUUUUUCCAGAGUCCAUGUCAAGUUCACUGGAUUGAGUUCCCUGAAUUGACCAUUCCUUCCUUUUUUCAUUUGGGCUCCCCAUUCCCUCCAUCUCACCCCCACUUUCACAGGGCUUUUUCUGUCCUGGACUUCACCCUUCCUCUUCAAGUGGUGGCCACUCUUGCAUACAUACUCCCACAACUGUUUUUCUCAAGUUCUUUUAAAAGUAGAAUUAUUCAGAGAACGUAAACUGUUCAGGAGGAGUGUCAGAAUUUAAUUUCUGAAAUGAUCCCAUUCUCCAUGAGCUAAUUUCUUAAGACUGCCCUGGAGUCUUCCCUAACGCUUGCGUGUUUUGAAAUUUGUUCACCCAAACUUUAGUUUAGGACACACUUUGGUUACCACAAACUCUUACACUUUGUCCAAAGUUUUGAUCUGAAUUAAAUCCCAAGUAUCAUUUCUCUGUAUGGCUUCCCCUUUGUCUUGUAAGAUGAAAUGGACAACAGAAGAAACUGAAAAUACAUCAGAUGCUGGGAGCCUGGGUGGCUCAGUUGGUUGAGUGUCUGACUCUUGCUUUUGACUCAGGUCAUGAUCCCAGGGUCAUGGGAUUGAGCCCCGGGUGGAGCCUGCUUGAGAUUCUCUCUCUGUGUCCUUCUGUCUCUCUAUCUCUCCCUCUGCCCCUCUCUGCUGCUCAUGCUCUUUCUCUCUCUCUCAAAUUAAAAAAAAAAAAAAAUUAAAAAAAUACAUCACAUGCUCUAUUUUGGAGAUUCCCAAUAGAUGUCUACAUAAUUGGAGAACCCCAAUAGAAUUUUACAUAGUUUUGUAAAGUAUAUUGGGAAAACAUAUUCUAGACUUGAGUUUCAGGAAACACAAGGCAUGUUCAACACUUAGUUGAAGAGGACUGGAUGAAAGGACUGAGGUGUGGAUAGGGUUAAGGGAAACCGAGGAGGGAUGGUGAGGCAUCCAGGGAGUAGCAAUAGUGGGAGUCUUUACCACCCCCAGGCCCGAAGGGACAGGGGGUGGAGGUGUUACUAGAACCCAAUAAUAGCUUGUAUUAGUCUGCUUAGGGUUGAUAUAACAAAGGACCACAAACUGGGUGGCUUAAUCCACAGAGAAUUUAUUGUCUCACGGUUCUGGAGGCUAGAAAUCCAGGUAUCAGGAGGGAUGGUUCCUUCUGGGGACUGUGAGGGAAGGAUCUGUCCUCUUUCCUUGGCUUGUAGAUGACUGUAUCUCCGUAUCUCUUUAUAUUUUCUUCUAUGUGUGUCUCGAUCUGUGUCCAGAUUUCCCCUUUUCAUAAGAACAUCAGUCGUACUGGACCAGGACUCAUCCUAAUGAUCUCCUUUAACUUGAUGACCUCUGUAAAGACCCUAUCUCCAAAUAAGGUCAUUUUCUGAGGUACUGGGGGUUAAGACUCCAAUAUAUCUUUUUUUUUUUUUGGGCGGGGGGCACAAUUCAACCCAUAUCAGAAUUGUAGUGAUAAGAAAGAAGUGCCUGACAGCAGCUGUGUCCCUUGAUAAAAGGACAAAGCCAUUGCCCAGCAGGAAUUUAAAUACCCCACUUCUUUCCUUCUCAUCCUCUCAGGCUAGUGCCUCCCAUUGACUGAACCCACUUCAAGUUAGAAGGCAAGGGUGCCUGGGUGAUGCAGUCCAUGCAAGCCAGCUGCCCAGGACACAGAGAGGGUGGAGACGGGUGGAGGGUUAAUCUAGAGGGACAACAGAAUAUCCAGCACAGCCUGUCUGGGCAGUCUAUAGGAUACACCCAAGGUGGCUAGCAUUUUUUAAGCCAGUAAGUCAGCCUUUUGGGCUCCCUGGUCCCUGGAGAGGCUUGAGAACAGAAGCUGCUUGGAGAUAGCCCCCUUUCUGGCUUUGUUUGUUUUUUUCUUUCUAUAAAAGCUUAAGCUUCACAAGGGAAUUGUGUUGGAGUGAAGGGUUGGGGAGACUAGGGGGAGGAGAUGAAAGAAUAAAAGGCUUGGCUUGGUGAGAUGGGAAACUAUGUAAGUUCUCUGAGGUCUUAGUGUCUCUGUCAUUUUGGAUGCUCUGCCCACCGCAGGAAAGUUAGGGGAAACAGGAGAUUCUCUGGCAAUGAGGAGGUUACAGAGAUCAGUGGUUCCAGAGGCAGCUAGAGCCCUUGCCCUGCUCCCUGGAAGUGCUCCAGGGAGACAGCAAGGUGUUGCAAACUGACCUAAGAUGAUCAUGUCCAACUCGGCCUUCUUUUUUUUGUUGGUUACAAUAGCUGCCAGAGAAGUCCGAAGUGACGAGGGGUUGCCUGCUUCACAUCCUUACUCCCAGAAUAUGUAAAGAAAACGUUGCAGUCUAAAAUCUGCCGCAACCACACACACACACACACACACACACACACACACACACACACACACCAUUUAUUAAACACUCAUUAGCAGGCAGGCACAAAACAGCUCCUAUGACUAUAUAGCUUCUUUGAGGUCUCUCUGUCCUUUUGGAUGCUCUGGCCACGGCAUGAAUCAAAGCUUUACUCAAGGUGGGGCAACGGUGUCACAGAGGGAGGACUCUGUCUCCCACAUAGGAGGCAUCAGAGAACCAGAGAGGGAGUCUGCUUUCAACUUCGUUAUGCUGUUCCAAUCCUGAUCAACCCCAGAGGUGACAUCAGAAGCAGGUUUCCUCUCACGAGGUACCAGAAGCCCCCAGGAGGCUGCCGGCCAGGCAAAGAUGCUCUGCUAUACUAAAUACGUUCCAGGGGCCAUGCAGACUUGGACAAUAAAAAUAACGGACUGAAGAUCGGAAGUACUUGCCGCCAUGCUCACCCUUCGUGACGAAUUUAUUGAGCGCCCGCCCGCAGGCCAGGGCCGUGAGAAGCAGAGAAGGAAAACACCAACUCCUUGCCCUAUAGGACUUAAUAGCUAACUCAUAUAAUAAUUACUGUUUACUAGACACUGUUGUCGCUCAGCUGUCAAACAACACUACCAAAUCGGUGCUAUUAUCAGCAUCUCUGGCAGAUGAAGAAACUGAGGCAUAACCAAGGCCACCCAGAGCGCCCAGGUGGCUCAGCCUUUAAGCAUCUGACUUCUGCUCAGGUCACGAACUCACAGUUUGUGAGUUCACACGGAGUGAGUUUGAGCCCCGCAUCAGGUGGAAUACAAGGCCCACUUCAGGUGAGGCCCAGCUUUCCCUGCCCCCCCCCCUUUCUCUCUCUCUGUCCCUCACUCACUUGCGCCCUCUAAAUAAAUAAAUAGAUAGAUAAAUAAAUAAAUAAAUAACCAAGGCCACCCAAACUAGUAAGAGGCAGGGUUUUGAAUCUGGGCUGUCAGGUUCCUGAAUCCACACUGUUGGCCGCAAACCAUAUCGCCUAUCUAGUUUAGUGAGGGAUGGACAGGUAAAUAAAUAAUUCACAUAGAGCACAAUGGUCAAAGCACGAAGUACCAUGGCAGCACAAAAUUAGACAGCUCAGGAUCUGAGGAGGGAUGGGGAGAGAGGUAUCUCCUGAAUGAGAUGACACCUGGACAGCGCUGGAAAGCAUGAAUCGGUGCCAGCUGGGAACAGAAGAGAGGGGAGAGAACUCUGGCCACAUAAGCACGGUAUUGGGGAGUGGGGGCGGGGCCUAAACACCGCAGCGUCACUAGAGAAUAAAAUGCCAGGGGGGAGGUGGGACACAGUUUGCUUGACAAAUGUUUGUUGGGCCUCUUAUAUGUGCAGGACUGUGCUUAUUGCCGAGGGUAUAGCAGGGACAGGGUGUCCAAGGAGCCUGAACUUGAGCUUUCGAACAUUUUGCUCCCCUAACUUACUAAAAUAGCUCUUUAAAACUACCCCCAUGCGAAACAUUCAACACACGGGAAAAGGAAGGGAACUUCCUCAAUCUGAUAAAGGGCAUCUCUGAAAACCCCCACAGCUAACAUCGUAUUUAAUGGGGAGAGACUGAAUGCCUUCCCUCUAAGGUCAGGAAUAAGACAGGGAUGUCCACUCUUCCCACUUCUCUUCAGUAUUGAACCGGAGGUUCCAGCUAGAGUCACUAGGCAAGAAGAUUAAAUAAAAGCAAACAAACUGGAAAGGAAAUUGACACUUUACAAUAAAAGUGUUACAGGGGCACCUGGGUGGCUCAGUUGGUUGGGCGUCUGACUCUUGAUUUUGGCUCGGGUCAAGAUCUCAUGGUAGUGGGAUCGAGCCCCCGCCUCAUCAGGCUCCGCGCUGAGUGUGGCGCUUCCUUGGGAUUCUCUCCCUCUCACUGCCCCCUCUCACUGCGCGUGCUUUCUCAAAAUAAAUAAACAUUUUUAAAAAUAAAAGUGUUACAUCAGCUUUGAAUGCCAUCCAGCGGAAUUUAAAUACUACAGCAGUUUGAUGCCCACCAUCAUCCAUUUAUAUGUAAAUUAAGUAAAACGACUUUGUUAACUACAAGAAACGCUACAUUAUUCCUUUUUCUCCUUGAAUUUGCGUUUUUAUUCCAUUUUACUCUUGCAGAAGUUUAUCCUCAAGUAGUAUAAUUUUAUGCCUGAAAGUUCUUAUUGAUCAUCCUAUGAUACUUCUUUACCACAGAAAUGUGCAUUUACACUGAAAUUCAAUUUUUAAAAACAUUUCCUGUGAUCAUAGUCUUCUAAAAACUUUCUACCUAUUAUUACAAGGAUUCUUAUUGCAGAAUUAAUCAAAAUAACGUACAGCAUCAUUUUUUGAUAAAUAAAGUCUUGUUGCAAAUACUACCUCAGUAGAAGGGAGGUGAUUUUUCUCAACGGGUCCUGCGUCGUUCUGUUCCUAUUUUUUUUUUGGUAAUGGCCAAGACAAUUGGCGUGUAUAAAACAAGUAGAUGGGAAUAAAAAGAGUUUUGCCAUCAGCAAUGUAAUUCUCGGAGUUCUUUUGCAACUUCUUCCAAAGAAUUUGCCAAAAAUCAUGCAGUAACCAUCACCAAAGCUUGUCUUAAUGACCCAUCAACUGACAAUUCCAGGAGGCGCUCAUUGAAUUU